rnacentral:rRNA from 1 species
GACGUAGGGGGCGAGCGUUAUCCGGAUUUAUUGGGCGUAAAGCGCGCGCAGGCGGCCGUGCAAGUCGGAUGUGAAAACACGAGGCUCAACCUCGUGCCUGCAUUCGAUACUGCUCGGCUAGAGGCAGGUAGGGGAGAUCGGAAUUCCCGGUGUAGCGGUGAAAUGCGCAGAUAUCGGGAGGAACACCUAUGGCGAAGGCAGCUCGCUGGGACGUUACUGACGCUGAGACGCGAAAGCGUGGGGAGCAAACAGG